UACGAGGGGUGCAAGCGUUGCUCGGAAUUAUUGGGCGUAAAGGGUAGGUAGGUGGUCUCAUUUGUCUGGGGUGAAAGCCUUGAGCUUAACUCAAGAAGUGCCCCGGAAACGGUGAGACUGGAGUCCUGGAGAGGGUCGUGGAAUUCCCGGCGUAGCGGUGAAAUGCGUAGAGAUCGGGAGGAACACCAGCGGCGAAGGCGGCGACCUGGACAGGUACUGACACUCAACUACGAAAGCGUGGGGAGCAAAUAGG
rnacentral:rRNA from 1 species